AUUCCAGCUCCAAUAGCGUAUAUUAAAGUUGUUGCGGUAAAAAAGCUCGUAGUUGGAUUUCUGUUGAGGGCGACCGGUCCAUACAACGUAUGCGUAUCUGGCUCGGCCUCGGCAUCCUCUCGAUAGACGUUUCUGCGCUUGAUUGCGUGGAGCGGAUCUCGGGACUUUUACUUUGAGGAAAUUAGAGUGUUCACGGCAGGCUAUCGCCAGAAUACAUUAGCAUGGAAUAAUACUAUAGGAUCUUGAUUCUAUUUUGUUGGUUUCUAGAAUUGAGAUAAUGAUUAAUAGGGACAAUUGGGGGCAUUCGUAUCAACACGUCAGAGGUGGAAUUCUUGGAUUGUGUUGCGACGAACUACUGUGAAAGCAUUUGCCAAGGAUGUUUUCAUUA
rnacentral:rRNA from 1 species